UUCAUUUCACCUCACUUCUAUUCAUUCAUUUUCUUCGAUCCUCUUCUCCAACCUUCUCUCCAACAGCUAAAACCCAAACUCAGCAUAUCCAUGGACGAACACAAUCUUCAUACGAUCAAUCUUCAAACAACAACCAAUAUUAUCCUUUGACAAUGUUCUCCAUUGGCACAUCCAUGCAUAAACGCUACUAGAUCUUACACUGAUAAGUUGUUGUGAAUCUCUGCUUCAUCGGUUUUGUGUUCGGGAAGCUUUUAUUGUUACAAAGCUUGGUAGUGUGUAUAAUUGAAGGAUUUGAAUCCGAAUCCGGAACCGAGAGUUUGUUUACUUUUGGGAUCUUGUUCAAUCCAUUUCAGAAGUGCUUUGUUUUCCUUUCUUUCUUCUUUAAUUAGAAAUCGUUUAAUUUCAAUGUUUUUUUUAUUAAGUUCAAUUCAAAUUGCUUCCUUGAUAUUGUUUCUUCGUUUUCUGAUUAUGGACGUUGCAAAGAUGCAAGAGGAUCUGAGUUUCCAAUAAAAUCUAUGAAUUAAAU
rnacentral:lncRNA from 1 species